UACAGAGGUGGCAAGCGUUGUUCGGAAUUACUGGGCGUAAAGGGCGCGUAGGCGGCCUUCUAAGUCAGACGUGAAAUCCCCCGGCUUAACCUGGGAACUGCGUCUGAUACUGGGAGGCUUGAGUAUGGGAGAGGGAUGUAGAAUUCCAGGUGUAGCGGUGAAAUGCGUAGAUAUCAGGAAGAACACCUAUGGCGAAGGCAGCUCUCUGGGACGGUACUGACGCUGAGACGCGAAAGCGUGGGGAGCGAACAGG
rnacentral:rRNA from 1 species